UAACCGUAAGCUAGAAAGUACAAAUCAAAUUAACUUUAUUUCUACAAUGCUAGCAGCGAUGUGUGGAUUCUUGUUCUUAGCUUCUGAUCC
rnacentral:sRNA from 1 species